rnacentral:rRNA from 1 species
GACGAACGCUGGCGGCGUGCUUAACACAUGCAAGUCGAACGGUAAGGCCCUUCGGGGUACACGAGUGGCGAACGGGUGAGUAACACGUGGGUGAUCUGCCCUGCACUUCGGGAUAAGCCUGGGAAACUGGGUCUAAUACCGGAUAGGACCACUGCCUGCAUGGGUGGUGGUGGGAAGCUUUUGCGGUGUGGGAUGGGCCCGCGGCCUAUCAGCUUGUUGGUGGGGUGAUGGCCUACCAAGGCGACGACGGGUAGCCGGCCUGAGAGGGUGACCGGCCACACGGGGACUGAGGUACGGCCCAGACUCCUACGGGAGGCAGCAGUGGGGAAUACUGCACAAUGGGCGCAAGCCUGAUGCAGCGACGCCGCGUGAGGGAUGCCGGCCUUCGGGUUGUAAACCUCUUUCAGCACCGACGAAGCGCAAGUGACGGUAGGUGCAGAAGAAGGACCGGCCAACUACGUGCCAGCCGCCGCGGUAA